rnacentral:rRNA from 1 species
AGUGAACGCUGGCGGUAGGCCUAACACAUGCAAGUCGAACGGCAGCACAGUAAGAGCUUGCUCUUACGGGUGGCGAGUGGCGGACGGGUGAGGAAUACAUCGGAAUCUACUUUUUCGUGGGGGAUAACGUAGGGAAACUUACGCUAAUACCGCAUACGACCUACGGGUGAAAGCAGGGGAUCUUCGGACCUUGCGCGAUUGAAUGAGCCGAUGUCGGAUUAGCUAGUUGGCGGGGUAAAGGCCCACCAAGGCGACGAUCCGUAGCUGGUCUGAGAGGAUGAUCAGCCACACUGGAACUGAGACACGGUCCAGACUCCUACGGGAGGCAGCAGGGGGGAAUAUUGGACAAUGGGCGCAAGCCUGAGCCAGCCAUACCGCGUGGGUGAAGAAGGCCUUCGGGUUGUAAAGCCCUUUGUUGGGAAAGAAAAGCAGCAGGUUAAUACCCCGCUGUUCUGACGGUACCCAAAGAAUAAGCACCGGCUAACUUCGUG